rnacentral:rRNA from 1 species
GAGUUUGAUCGUGGCUCAGAUUGAACGCUGGCGGCAUGCCUUACACAUGCAAGUCGAACGGCAGCACGGGAGCUUGCUCCUGGUGGCGAGUGGCGAACGGGUAAGUAAUGCAUCGGAACGUAUCCUGGAGUGGGGGAUAACGUAGCGAAAGUUACGCUAAUACCGCAUAUUCUGUGAGCAGGAAAGCGGGGGACCUUCGGGCCUCGCGCUCUUGGAGCGGCCGAUGUCGGAUUAGCUAGUUGGUGAGGUAAAGGCUCACCAAGGCGACGAUCCGUAGCAGGUCUGAGAGGAUGAUCUGCCACACUGGAACUGAGACACGGUCCAGACUCCUACGGGAGGCAGCAGUGGGGAAUUUUGGACAAUGGGGGCAACCCUGAUCCAGCCAUGCCGCGUGAGUGAAGAAGGCCUCGG